rnacentral:rRNA from 1 species
CUGCCCAGUGAUCAAUAUUAAACGGCCGCGGUAUCCUAACCGUGCAAAGGUAGCAUAAUCAUUUGCCUAUUAAUUGUAGGCUAGAAUGAAUGGAUAAACGAAAUAAAAACUGUCUCAAUUAGUUUACUAAAAAUUAACAUCUAUAUGAAGAGUUAUAGAUAUCCUCGAAGGACAAGAAGACCCUAUAGAGCUUUAUUUUUAAUUAUAAAUGACUUAUAUAAAAAUUUGGUUGGGGCGACCAAGGGCAAAACAUAACACCCUUUUUUAUAAAGAUAUAUUAAUCUAUAAAGACCCUUAACAAAGAUCAGAAAAACAAGCUACCUUAGGGAUAACAGGCUAAUCCAAUUUAAGAGUUCAUAUCUAAAAUGGGGGUUGGCACCUCGAUGUUGGCUUAAGGUAUCAAUAUAGCGCAAAAGUUAUAUAGUGAUGGUUUGUUCAACCAAUAAUUCCUU